AAAAAAUUUUUUUUUGUGAAGAAAAAUUUAUGUGAAUUAAAAGUUAGACCAAGUGUUAGUGACUUUGAAACUUGUAUAGCUCAGCUCAGACAAUUUUUGGUGUAACACAACUAAUGCAGUUUAACAUAUGGUUUAAAUUUGAUGUAAGUUUUUUUUUUCCCCCCAGAAAACUUUAGAAACUGUUCCUUUGGAGAGGAAAAAGGUACUCUGCCAGCAGGUCACCUCAUAUUUAAGAAUUUAAUUUCCUGCAUACAAAGAGAAAAUGUAAAUAAAAAUUGAAAUGGUGUUUUCCUUUGCAGAGAGAAAAGGAACAGUUCCGUAAGCUCUUUAUUGGUGGCUUAAGCUUUGAAACCACAGAAGAAAGUUUGAGAAACUACUACGAGCAAUGGGGAAAGCUCACAGACUGUGUGGUUAUGCGGGAUCCUGCAAGCAAAAGAUCAAGAGGAUUUGGCUUUGUAACUUUCUCAUCUAUGGCUGAGGUUGAUGCUGCCAUGGCUGCAAGGCCUCAUUCCAUUGAUGGCAGGGUGGUUGAGCCAAAACGUGCUGUGGCAAGAGAGGAGUCUGGGAAACCAGGAGCCCAUGUGACUGUGAAGAAACUGUUCGUUGGUGGAAUUAAGGAAGAUACUGAGGAGCAUCACCUUAGAGAUUACUUUGAAGAAUAUGGAAAAAUUGAUACUAUUGAAAUAAUUACUGAUAGGCAGUCUGGAAAAAAAAGAGGCUUUGGCUUUGUUACCUUUGAUGACCAUGAUCCUGUGGAUAAGAUUGUCUUGCAGAAAUAUCACACCAUAAAUGGUCACAAUGCAGAAGUUAGAAAGGCAUUGUCUAGACAAGAAAUGCAGGAAGUCCAAAGUUCUAGGAGUGGAAGAGGAGGAAACUUUGGUUUUGGAGAUUCUCGAGGUGGCGGUGGCAAUUUUGGACCAGGACCAGGAAGCAACUUUAGGGGGGGUUCUGAUGGAUAUGGAAGUGGACGUGGAUUUGGGGAUGGCUAUAAUGGGUAUGGAGGAGGACCUGGAGGAAAUUAUGGAAGUGGAAAUUACAAUGAUUUUGGAAAUUAUAACCAGCAACCUUCUAACUACGGUCCAAUGAAGAGUGGAAACUUUGGUGGUAGCAGGAACAUGGGAGGACCAUAUGGUGGAGGGAACUAUGGUCCUGGAGGAAGUGGAGGAAGUGGGGGCUAUGGUGGAAGGAGCCGAUAUUGAGCUUCUUCCUACUUACCAUGGGAAGGUGUCUUGCUGCAGGUAACUAAUGAAGAAGUGGUCAACCACAGAGUCUUCAAGAAAUAAGAAAUUCUGUACCAUCUGAAAGUAGUUCUUGUUGGUGCCUUCAUUUAAGAAGCACUUUUAAGAUAAAAGGGAAUGUUUUCUGAUUAAAAACUUCAUUUAGUACAGGUUCUUAAUAAAAUUACAAAAAUGAGUGUUGAUUGUAAAGGUUAACAUCAGAUUAGCUAAGGAUAAUGUGUUAUGUUUUAAAUUAGGAUUUGUGAGUAGACAGAUAAGCUCUAUUUUAAAUACAAGUUUUAUAAAAUAAAUACUUUUGUAACCAAA
rnacentral:lncRNA from 1 species